GUAAAUUAGAGGAACUAAGAGCAUAUGAUGGAGAGAAAAAUUCCAGCUUUCUAAUUUAUAGUGACCUUCAGGAAUCACCAUAAACCUUUACCACCCUCAAAUGAACACUUCAUUCCAUUCUUGAGAUAAGUUUCAGUGCGUGUAAAAAAUCGGACACUUUUUUACAUGCCCAAAUGCAAAUCAAGCUCUUUUGAAAGUCAUGACCUGUGAUGUACACUUAAAAUUUGUCUCUUAAUAUAUUCUUUUGCCAGAUGUGCCUGGAUGAUAUAAUCCCUGUCUAACCUUCUCUUCCAUCUCAUGACAUGGGAAAUACUCCAAGCAAUUGUAUGCCUCAACUAUAUGCAAUGUGAUUUCAUUCUCUCACUCCAUUGAGCUAUCUGCCCACCUAAAUGUGUGGGACUGAGGAAUCACCAUGAAAUUGGACCUGAUAGGAUGCCAGGAAAGAAAUCAAGAAGAAUUAAAAAAAUACAGUAGCCAUACUGUAUUUCAAACUGAAAGUUCUGGCUCAGAAAGCCUCAGCAUCCUGUCAGAGACCAAGUGA
rnacentral:lncRNA from 1 species